rnacentral:rRNA from 1 species
CAGCAGCCACGGUAAUACGAAGGGUGCAAGCGUUAAUCGGAUUUACUGGGCGUAAAGCGUGCGUAGGCGGCAUCUUAAGUCGGAUGUGAAAUCCCUGAGCUUAACUUAGGAAUUGCAUUCGAUACUGGGAAGAUAGAGUAUGGGAGAGGAUGGUAGAAUUCCAGGUGUAGCGGUGAAAUGCGUAGAGAUCUGGAGGAAUACCGAUGGCGAAGGCAGCCAUCUGGCCUAAUACUGACGCUGAGGUACGAAAGCAUGGGGAGCAAACAGGAUUAGAUACCCCGGUAGUCCCUGUCUCUUAUAC